GUCAAGUUCUGAAAUUAGACUAGCGAGCUGAACUGGAAAAGAAAGGCUUAGCACCAGUUUUUUCUCUCUCUCACAAGACUGAUCAGCAAUCUGAGUUCAUGAUGCAGCUUUAUGGAGCUCUGAUCCUGUGUGUGACUCUGUCUGCAGUAGCAUGUGGAUUAAGAUGCUACACAUACACAGCUGCUGAUCCUAAAUUCUGCACAGACACCAAAUCAUCUUUAAUCGUUGUUUUUCUCUCAGAGUAGACGGUUAUGACUUGGUUACAAAGGGCUGCCAAACCAGUGUAUUUUGUGCCAGUGCUGUGUCUUGCUGUGAAGGGGACCUGUGUAACAGCACUAUUCCAGCUAGUCCCAGUGCCAUCCUGCUGCUGGUGUCCUCAGGCAUCCUCACACUUCUUUUCUGAGGCUGUGGAAUGAUGUUAUUUCCAUGCUGAUUUUAUUUUUUACAACUAAGGAAGAAAUAAAUAACUUUGAAGUGC